AGGAUGAACGCUGGCGGUCUGCUUAACACAUGCAAGUCGAACGGAGUAGCAAUACUUAGUGGCGGACGGGUGAGUAACGCGUGAGAAUCUACCUUCAGGACGGAGACAACAGUUGGAAACGACUGCUAACCCCCGAUGUACUGAAAAGGCAAAUAUUUAUAGCCUGAAGAAGAGCUCGCGUCCGAUUAGCUAGUUGGAGAGGUAAAAGCUCACCAAGGCGACGAUCGGUAGCUGGUCUGAGAGGACGAUCAGCCACACUGGGACUGAGACACGGCCCAGACUCCUACGGGAGGCAGCAGUGGGGAAUUUUCCGCAAUGGGCGAAAGCCUGACGGAGCAAGACCGCGUGGGGAAGAAGGCUCUUGGGUUGUAAACCCCUUUUCUCUGGGAAGAACACAAUGACGGUACCAGAGGAAUCAGCAUCGGCUAACUCCGUGCCAGCAGCCGC
rnacentral:rRNA from 1 species